rnacentral:lncRNA from 1 species
CAGAGUUGCUGAAGAAGAAGUUGCUCUGAUUUAAGAAGAAGCACCGAUUGGGUCCGAAAUCGUUCAAGUCGACGAGGCUACACCCGAGCAAAUGAACAAAAAUGAUGAUGAAGCUUAGUCGGUGUAUUUUGCUUUCUUUUUUGUAAUCAGAUACCUGUAAUCGGACUUCGGUCCAAUUUUGUAACUUCUUAUUUUGGCAA